rnacentral:tRNA from 1 species
AAGGUAAGAUGACCAAAGAAAAGCUUCUAACUUUUAUUUUAAGCGGUUCAACUCCGUUUUUACCUUU